rnacentral:rRNA from 1 species
GGCCUGGCUGGUCGGUCCGCCUCACCGCGUGUACUGGUCCGGCCGGGCCUUUCCUUCUGGGGAUCCUCAUGCCCUUCACUGGGCGUGCUGGGGAACCAGGACUUUUACUUUGAAAAAAUUAGAGUGUUCAAAGCAGGCUUCACGCUUGAAUACAUUAGCAUGGAAUAAUGAAAUAGGACU